UGGUGUACCGGAGUAGGAAUGAGCCCUGCUUGCAAUUACCACUAACCUGGAUGGUCUGAUGGAUGGCAAACCCACCCAAGUGGCAGCAGAGGCACGGAGGUCCAGAAAAAGAUGCGCGGUGCCAGCGAUGAGACAAUAGAAUGGUCAGAGAGUCCCCGAGGUCAGGGCAGGCAGCUUUGGGUUCAUACACUGGGACAUUUUAGAUGACUGAUUUAGACAGUUUAUGUAAUUAAGUAAUUAAGCAGGGUAUGCUGACCAGAUAGAGGUCGUCUUUUGACCCCAAACCGUCCCGCCUCCCCUGAUGCCCCUCUUUUCUUGGAGCUCAGAAUGUUUGCUGGGUAUGAGGGGAUCGCAGGGUUCUACAGCCCUAAAAGCCCCGAUAAUGUGUAUAGAAACAGCAGGAAAUUUGAUAGGGAUUCUUCAAGUAGAGGAAUAGAUAUUUUGAUAUUAUUCUAAAACACAAGCAAAGUGCGAAGAAUUCUUGGGAAAUUAAAAAAAAAAGGAUAAUAUAGCAUGAGUGAUGUUGAGCUAGGAAGAAAAAUUCAAUAAUAGGAAAUGCUUUAUAGUAUUUAGCGGGGAAAUAAAUCUGCUGACUUGGUGUCAUGAGAAAAUAAUCAAAGUAUAAAUAAAAAAAAGAAAAGAAAAUGACGAACGCUCUUCUGGAAAAUUGACUCCGAGGAUGGAACAGAAAAACAAUGAUCCCAGGAUCAGAAAUAUAAAAAGUAAUGACUUCUAUCAAUUCC